UUGCAGGAAAUGUUACGAUACAACUGAAGUGGUCUAUUGGCCGUCUCCUGCUUACAGGAUAAUGAUUCAUACUAUCUCUUGCUAGCUCCAUUCUAUGAGAAAGAACGCUGGUCUCAACAAG
ensembl:snoRNA SNORA63 Small nucleolar RNA SNORA63